UGGAGAGAAAUAUACUGGUGAUCCUGGAGUCACUUUGUCUGUUACAGGUACAGUUACAUUAUAUAUACUGGUGAUCCUGGAGUCACUCUGUCUGUUACAGGUACAGUAACAUUCUAUAUACUGGUGAUCCUGGAGUCACUCUGUCUGUUACAGGUACAGUUACAUUCUAUAUACUGGUGAUCCUGGAGUCACUCUGUCUGUUACAGGUACAGUAACAUUCUAUAUACUGGUGAUCCUGGAGUCACUCUGUCUGUUACAGGUACAGUAACAUUCUAUAUACUGGUGAUCCUGGAGUCACUCUGUCUGUUACAGGUACAGUUACAUUCUAUAUACUGGUGAUCCUGGAGUCACUCUGUCUGUUACAGGUACAGUUACAUUCUAUAUACUGGUGAUCCUGGAGUCACUUUGUCUGUAACAGGUACAGUAACAUUCUAUAUACUGGCGAACCUGGAGUCACUCUGUCUGUUACAGGUACAGUAACAUUCUAUAUACUGGUGAUCCUGGAGUCACUCUGUCUGUAACAGGUACAGUAACAUUCUAUAUACUGGUGAUCCUGGAGUCACUCUGUCUGUUACAGGUACAGUAACAUUCUAUAUACUGGCGAUCCUGGAGUCACUCUGUCUGUAACAGGUACAGUAACAUUCUAUAUACUGGUGAUCCUGGAGUCACUCUGUCUGUUACAGGUACAGUAACAUUCUAUAUACUGGUGAUCCUGGAGUCACUCUGUCUGUUACAGGUACAGUAACAUUCUAUAUACUGGUGAUCCUGGAGUCACUCUGU